rnacentral:rRNA from 1 species
UCAGACCAGCGGCGGACGGGUGAGUAACGCGUGGGUAAUCUACCCAUAAGAGGGGGAUAACACUGGGAAACCGGUGCUAAUACCGCAUAAGCUAUUUGGUACGCAUGUACUGAAUAGUAAAGGUGGCCUCUGGUAACAAGCUACCGCUUAUGGAUGAGCCCGCGUCUGAUUAGCUAGUUGGUGGGGUAACGGCCUACCAAGGCGACGAUCAGUAGCCGGCCUGAGAGGGUGACCGGCCACACUGGGACUGAGACACGGCCCAGACUCCUACGGGAGGCAGCAGUGGGGAAUAUUGCGCAAUGGGGGAAACCCUGACGCAGCGACGCCGCGUGAGCGAAGAAGGCCUUCGGGUUGUAAAGCUCUUUUAUUAGGGACGAAAUCCUGCAUGCGAAUAGUGUGUGGGGAUGACGGUACCUAAUGAAUAAGCCCCGGCUAACUACGUGCCAGCAGCCGCGGUAAGACGUAGGGGGCGAGCGUUGUCCGGAAUUACUGGGCGUAAAGAGCGUGUAGGCGGGCUGUUAAGUCAGGUGUGAAAGACCGCAGCUCAACUGCGGGGUGGCAUCUGAUACUGGCAGUCUUGAGGGCAGGAGAGGGAAGUGGAAUUCCUGGUGUAGCGGUGAAAUGCGUAGAUAUCAGGAGGAACACCAGUGGCGAAAGGCGGGCUUCCUGGACUGAUCCUGACGCUGAGACGCGAAAGCGUGGGGGAGCAAACAGGAUUAGAUACCCUGGGUAGUCCACGCUGUAAACGA